GCCGGUGCUCUGGACCGUACUGGCUCUGAUCGCCAUCACACGUGUCCCCUAUUACAGGCACUGGACCGCCGAGUUCCGGGCGGCAAUUCCAUUCGUGGGUUCAAUGAUUUUCAUGCUAUCUGCUCUUCUCUUCGAGGCUCUCUCCGUUCGCUUCGCUACUGCAGUGCUUGGCCUUGAUUGGCACAGGUAACUGUGCUGGACAUAAAGAUAUAAACCUUUUGUGGUUUGUUUGAUUCUGUUGGUCAGUUUUAUAUUUUUAUUCUUUUUGGAUCUAAUAAUGUUGCGAGGCAACCUCUACUGUAGAAUGGAAUUGAUGACCCAGGAACUUAUCAUUUUGUUUUUCCUUAAUCGUCUUUCAAAUUCCGUAUUUACUGGUGAACUUAGCUCAAAAGUACUGAUGACCAAGCAACUUAACAUUUUCUUAAUUGUCAAAUCAUUGUAGCUUUAAUGUCCCUGUAUUCAUCACAAACCGUAUGGAACAUUUAUGACUUUAAAUCUGGUGUUGAUUAAUGUGUAAUGUUCACAUGAAUUAUCUUCUGCAUCUCUAGGUUUUUCUACUUCCCUUGAGUUGAGAGACAAUACGUUUCAGUUUUUAGCUAUUUCAUCUUUGAGUAUCUUCAAUGCUUUAAAAACAGGAUUAUUGAUUGGCUUGGCAAUGUCCAACAGUGAUACAGAUCCUCUGCCUGAUACUGGUCAGUGGUUGCUCCUGGCAUUAAAUGAGAAACUUCCUGGAACAAUAGUCCAAAUAUUGAGAGCUCGUAUCAUUGGGCUACACCACUUUCUGAUGUUGUUUAUGAUGCUGGCUUUCUCUGUACUAUUUGACUCUGUAGAAGCUCCUGGCCUUGGGCUAGGUGCAAGGUAUAUGUUCACUAUGGCAGUCGGCCGACUCCUUCGGGCCAUAACAUUUGUAUCUACCAUUCUGCCGUCAGCCCGGCCUUGGUGCGCUUCGGCAAGGUUUAGAGUCCCCGCGUACCCUCAUUACUGGGCACAGAAAUAUUAUGUGCCUUAUGCUUCAGAUGCCAGUGCUAUUCGUCAGAUUAUAAAUCAGGAUAUGGCUUAUGGUAUGUGUUGCUUAUCAAAUUCAAUUUGCGUUGUCUCCUUGGCUAUCUGGAUUUAGUGUCUGAGUAUCUUCAUUUUUUGCUGGGAGUCUGGGACCCCAAUUGGAUGUGCUGCUGAGUGCUCUGUCAGCUUCUGUUUUGUGUUGAUACUCUUUUGUUUUCCAUUCGGCUCCUCUCCUUCAUUUCUUCCAACUGAACAUGGACUUAGGAUUUAGGUAAUGGAUGAUGUUCAAUGGCCCUAUACUGACCACUAUAAUUCAACUGAUAAAAGCAAAUUAUUCUGAUUAUCAAGUCAUGCAAUCAAGUGCUUGUGGCUCAUGCCAGAUGAAAUAGAUUCAAGAUUCCUAACUGUCUUUUCUAGAUAGACUAAACUUUACUGAUGAAAUAUGACAGUACCUAUCUUAUAUGAGGCAUUCGUUCUUCAAUAUGAUGUGCUAUCCUAAAUUCAUAUUAAGUUUGUCUCAAUGACUGGAAGGGUCCUGUUAACACCUCUAUUAUCUUUUUCAGCUGAUGUUGGUAAUUAUCCGAGUGACUAUCGACUGGAUUGGGGUUCUAUGAGUUUCUUAAUUGACUUCCUGCGACCGACUGCAUCAGAAGGAUCUUCAUGGUUCAGUCUGCUGAAGAAAGCUGGUGGUGGCUGCAAUGACCUUAUAUACAGUGGUCACAUGCUUGUUGCUGUACUGACAGCUAUGGCUUGGACGGUAUUCAUACAAAUCCAUUGUCAAGCAAUGAGAAUAAAUGACUAAUUACAUACUCUUAUCAGCCUUUGUUUCUUAAAAUGAUUGCAGGAGGCUUACGGAGGCUUUAGCUCGGCUCUCGUAUGGCUGCUUGUAAUGCACAGUGCCCAGAGAGAAGUUCGGGAACGCCACCACUACUCUGUGGACUGCAUUGUGGCAAUAUACGUAGGCAUCCUCCUCUGGAAGAUGACAGGUUUUAUCUGGCCACUCAAGGAUGCAUCCAAGAGUAAACGGCUCAACAAACUUGAUAAAAUCCAAAGUAGACUACUCCAAGCCGCUAAAGACUCGGACAUGGACAAGGUAACCGAGCUUCUCAAAGAAGUUGAGCUAGGCGGUCAAGAAACCCAAAACAAAGGCCCCAGCAAGGGCCUGUGGUUGUUUGCAUGCGCCAUAAUUUUCUUUGCACUCACCAUUGUUGUACUCGCCUUCACGUUGACGAGCGAUGGAUGAUUUUUUUUCCGAUCUGCACAUUGUUGUAUUUCUAUGUAGUGCAACAUUUUGUUAACGGGGAAAGGUUUUGAUUUUUAUGCUGCCAGAAAUGGUGUUGGGAGUAAUAAGACAAUUUUAGCAGACAAUUUUAGCGGCAUAACAAAUUAACAAUUAACACGUUGAUACAAAGGAUGACUUGUAGCUGUAUUAUGUGACCUUUAGGUAGCUCCUUGGCUUUUUUCUGUUGCUUGGGCUUUCUUAUUUGGAUGAUGAUUGGAUCCUUGAAAUUAUGUUUGAGUUGGACCAUUGGCACCUCUCUCAUCUCCUCAUAAAAUCUCUUUUUUAGUUAUAUUUAUUUUAUUUUUGAAAAUAUCCUUUUUUUUAGAUACACUUUUCUAAGUUCUUAAUUUUUAUUUGAUUUGUUUUAUUAUUAAAACUUAAAGUAUUAUUGUGCUAUUUUUUAUUUUCAAUUUCAUUAUUAAUCUACACACAAAUUAAAAAAUUAUAUGGGUGAUAAAUUUUUUAGUGUUAAUCAUUGGUUGAAAUAACACAUAUUUUAAAUUAUAAUUUCAAAGUAAUUUUAAGUAUAAAAAUAUUUAAUCAAUAAGAAAUCAAAAGAGAACAAUAUAUUAUUUUAAAUUUGUAUAAUUUAUUUUAGUUAAAUAGGAAGUAACACAUAUAUAUAUAUAUAUAUAUAUAUAUAUAUAUAUAUAUAUAUAUAUAUAUAUAUAUAUAUAUAUAUAUAUAUAUAUAUAUAUAUAUAUAUAUAUAUUGAAAAGAAUUAAUUAUGAAUUAAGUAAUUUGCUGGAAAAAAAUCUUUAUGUGUUUAAUUUUUAAUUGUCCUUAAUUGUAAUUUUAUUUAAAGUGGGGUUUUGUAAGAAAAAUGUAGGGGUGCCAAUAGCUCCACUCAUUAUGUUUUUAUUUAUUUUUCAAUAUUUAUUAUGAAUCCUUUUGUCAACUCCUUUUAUGACCAUUUUAUCAGUUUUGUAUAUAAACAUCUAAAUCAUGAAAAAUAGUCAUAGUUAUGUUUAAAGGAAAAAGUAAAAGAAAAAUUAGUUAAAAGAAAAAUUAAUUACAUUCACCAGAUGAAUUUCAAAAUAAAAAUGCCACGUGGGAUUAAAAUUCUCCAAAAAAAAAGGCUGAACACUCUUAAAGUCCCGUCACUAGCAAGGAAAAAAGAAAAAAAAAAGUUCAGAAGCAGAUAUUCUUCAGAGCUUAAACGAGAGUCUUUUGCAACCGUCCGAUAUAAACACAAAAGAAAAUUUCCAACCAUCCGACGAUUCACAAUACGCCGAUCUAGUGAAUUAUCCUACUAUCUGCCCAGCAAAUUCAUGCCGCGGUUAUCUAUCUUGCCUCCGCAUUGCACCUACCAAAUAAACAGAUUCUUUUUCCCCUCCAAACCUGUUGCUCUCUGUCGAUUACAUCCAAAAUACAGAGCUAAAAUAUUUAUUUUAGGAAAAAGUUUGAAAGUCAAUUGCAAUGGCGAUUUCUUUGACGGCGUCUACAAUUCCUUCAUUAAAUGCAAAAGUGUCCGCUAGCAGUUCAUCAAAACUCUCUCGGCUGUCUUCUCUGCAAUUCCCCGUGCAGUUGCGCCGCCUUCGAAUUUCUAACGGCUCGAGAACUUCAUCUUCCUCCAAACGUCGCUUGCUGCCAGUGGUAAUCUUUGAUUUUGCUUUGUUUUGAGUAGUUUUUAAUUAAUAUUUGUUUACGAGUUCCUUAAUUGAAAUAAUUACUUUCGGUAGGUUGAAGCGAAGAAGCAAACAUUUUCGUCACUUGAUGAUUUGCUGCAGAAAUCUGACAAGCCUGUGUUGGUUGACUUCUAUGCCACCUGGUAAUUUUCAUCCUUCGCUCAAGAAAAUUUUAACAUUGUAUAAUGAACAUCAAGUUGAUUACUUAUGCUAUAUUUUUUACUUAAUUUUAAUAACAAAGUAGCUAAAUUGUUUGGUGAGCAUUCUUUUUUAUGGCAGCUAAUGUUGAUUGCCUAGCCACUUGCCUAUACUUGUCAGCCAGUAAUUUCAUUCCACAGCUUCUGAUUUUGUUUUUGUCUUGUUUGUUAACAGUUACCAUCUAGUGUUUGCACUUCAAGUUUGUUAAAAGGUUUUAUAAAUUGAAACAUAGACAACUCGUGAUAUGGUUUGCAGGUGUGGUCCUUGCCAGUACAUGGCUCCUAUCCUCAAUGAAGUUGGUGCUGCUCUGAAAGAUAAGAUUCAGGUGGUCAAAAUCGAUACUGAGAAGUACCCUCAGAUCGCUGAUACAUACAGAAUAGAGGCCUUGCCAACUUUCAUUCUAUUUAAGGACGGGAAACCUUCUGAUCGCUUCGUAAGUCAAUUUAAUAUUGUUUUUUUUGUUUUCCUUGAAAAUUUAAUUUGUGCAUCUUUACAAAAUCAUUGUUUAUUCUCUGUGAAAAUGCAUUAAAGUGUCAAGUGACUACUAUGAAUAACCUGAAGAUCCUCUCUUUCCCAUGCCUGUAAAUUUUGGUGUUGAUAUUUGGAUUUGGAAAUUCUUUUCAAGCAUUGUCUUUCACUUUAUUGGAUUCCGUUAUAAUCGAUGUGUAGCUCUGAGGGUUAUCCAAUAUUCCAAAGUUUGUUGCUAGGCCUGGGAUAUUUCCUUUACACAGAUAGUAUCAUCAUCAAUAACUUAUGCAUUUUGUUGUUUGAGCCACUGGUGUAUUUUUGACUCAGUUGACUGGCAUCAGCAGUAUGCGCAUAUUGUCAUUGUAUGAUUCUUUUUUGCUUUUCAGUUACUUUUUCUGGUAGCUGUUGCCACAGGUUAGUUCUUUCAUAUGCCUGUGGACAUUAAGUUCAAUAACAAUCCUGAUGGUUGAUUGUUUUCAGGAGGGUGCUUUUUCUAAAGAUCAGCUUAUCCAACGCAUUGAGAAUUCAUUGAGCGUCAAGCAAUAGUUGUGGUGAGCUCUAGUUUUUAUUUAUUUCUACUUUUGAGUCUGCCCCAAUGAGUUUAUGUCCUCAAAGAGCCCUUUUAAUUGCCAUUCUCCUGUUGGCUCACUCUCUGCUAUUUUUGAUGUUUUGCAGUUUCUCAGGUUCUACCAGGAAACCAAUGUAAUCAAGUUGUUAGAUUGGAAUAUUGAAUUCAGUAAACAGGGAAUUCACAAGGAAAUUGUCUUUUCGUUUCUUUCCAUUUUUUAUUUUCGAAUCUCUUGUAUUUUUACCUAAAUUUUAUGACCUAUUUUUUUUAGGUUAUGCUGCUGAUUUUUUUACAAUAAAAAAUUUUGAUGACCUACUGUAUUGAAAUUUUGGUGUGAAUUCAUCAUGUUAAUGGUGCUGUCAUGGCAGUUUCUGUGUCUCUUUAGUUUGUUCAAUGAUCUUGGUCUGCAGUAUAGUGGAUGACUACUGACUAGUAAUAAGGGCUCACUCGACACAGUAAAGGGCAUAUAAGAUCCUCCAGAAUGACCAAUGCUUUUCAAGUUUCUUGACUCUAAAUAAUAUACAUUUUAAUUAAGGUUGUAGAUUUCAAGUAUAAUGCAUUGCGAUAUCAUCGCUUUAUCUAUAUUUUCCUUGAAGUUUUAAUAAUAUAGUUACAAAUUUUUAUAUAAAUUUAUUUUGUACAAAUUGAUAUGACAUAAUUAAAUUAAUUGAAUUAAAUAUUUCUUGAUUCAUUAUAUUUAUUUUUAUUAUUUUAAAUUUUUUUAAUUAAUAAAUUAAUAUCAAAUCAGUUUGUCCAAACUUAUUUUUACAAAAAUUGAUGAUUGUAUCUUAUAGACUCCUCAUAAUUUGCGGGGAAGGAAAUUGUAGGCUUUUGUUUUUGUUAUUGUGUUUUUUUUUUCCGGUUUUUAUGAAAAACAAUUGAGUGAAAAAGCUAUUAGCUAUCUAAUUAACUGGUGUUACUAAAACAACCCUGAUUGGUGUCAACGCUGAAUUAAUAAUAGCGGUGAGCAAGGGGGGUAGGGUCGUCUAUUAAAUGAGAUUAUACCAUAUACCGUCCAGGUGAGAAAUUGCCAAACCCCGAGGGAGGUAAGCGAUAUUACCUUUUCCUAUUCUACUUAUCGACUCCUUCUCUGGCAUAGGCUGAUCAGCAACGGGGAGAUGGAAAUGGAAAUGCGUGCGAGUGAGGAAAUAAGGCAAGGUGAAGACAUAACGCCACCAUUAUUUCCUCUCACUUUCGCAUUUCACGACUCUUUACUCGACGGUCACUGUUCGUCUUGCUUCUCUCCACUUCCUUGUUGCUGCUCCUCCCUCCCCCUCUCCUCCGCCGAACUCCGCGCCGCUCUCCACCUCCUCCACUCCCCUCUUCCCACUACCUCUCUUCCUCCUCCUCCUCGUCUCUUCGGCUUACUCACCAACCGCGACAAGCUAAUGUCUUCCUCCGACUCCGAUGUUGCGUCCAAAAUUCGAGAAGGAGCGGGGGAGAUGGGGAGAGCGAGAGGGAAUUUGUCCGACGACGUCGCUUGGGAGGAGGCUGCGUUGUGUUUGGUGAUGACCAAUGCCGUUGAGGUGCAGGAUGAUAAGACAGGGCGUAUUUUAGGUAUCGCCGUGUACGAUAAGGAUUUCUCUUGGAUCAAUCACAGCUGUUCUCCCAACGCUUGUUACCGCUUCUCGCUUUCUGAGCCAAAUGCUCCGUCGUUUCGCGAUGAAAAGAAAAUGCGGAUUGCUCCUCACGUUGUUUUCGACAGCACUGAGGCUGAAACUCCAGUAAAAUCCCAGCUAUGUUGAAAUUUUUUUGAAUUUUUUAACUGACUUGAGCAAGUCGAUAAUUGAUUUGAUGCAGGGAAAGAGUGAUGUUUGUAUCAGUUGUGAAUUAAAAGAAGGUUGCUAAUGCUAAUUGUUGUUCAUUUCUAUAUAAAUUUUGCACAUUGUUUGAUUUUUGCCGUUCUGAAUUUCAUUUAAUUUUAUUUUCAAGGAAGUAAGAGACAUGGUCCAAGGAUCAUUGUAAGGAGUAUUAAGCCAAUUAACAAAGGCGAGGAGGUAACUGUUGCUUACACUGAUUUGUUGCAACCUAAGGUACUACAUUCCAUUUAAAAUCAGCUGAUCAGGCAUUUGUUUUAUUUGAUAAUUUUGUAUAAUUCUACAUUGUUCAAACCAAUUUUAUUUUGUUUAGGGAAUGAGGCAGUCAGAGUUGUGGUCAAAGUAUCAAUUUGUCUGUCACUGUAAGCGAUGCUCUGCGUCACCUCCAAGUUACGUAGAUAUGGCCUUAGAGGUAAAAACUUUAUGUAAAUUGUCCGCGGGAAGAUCUCAGUUGCAAACGAGUGGUGUGACAAGUAUUGAACUCUCGAGGGCUUUUUUUGUUCUUUCUCCAGGAAACCUUUUCUUCAAAUCCUGAGUUUUCGAGCUUGAGUUCUGAUUACAACUUCCUCAAGGACGAGGCAAAUCAAAAGUUGACUGAUUGGAUGGAUGAAGUUACAUCUGAAUAUCUAUUAGUUGAUGAUCCUGAAUCUUGCUGCCAGAAGCUGGAGAACAUCCUUACCCAAGGUCUGCAGGGUGAGUUGUUAGAAUCCGAAAAAGUAAAAAUACAGCUGAAUUUGAGGUUGCAUCCCCUGCACCAUCUCUCACUGAAUGCCUAUACAACACUGGCAUCUGCAUAUAAAACCCGUUCAAUUGACUUAUUAGCUCUCAAUUCUGACAUUGAUGGACAGCAAUUGGAAGCUUUUGAUAUGAGCAGGGCAAGUGCCGCAUACUCAUUACUGCUUGCUAGUGCGACUGACCAUUUGUUCCGAUCUGAGUCAUCUCUGAUUGCAGCGUCUGCAAAUUUCUGGGCAAGUGCAGGGGAGUCCUUGUUAACUCUUGCUAGAAGCCCAGGGUGGAAUUUAUUUGUGAAACCGGAAUUGCCUAUUUCAACCUCGUCCCCUGAGAUUCAUGAGUGCUCCAAGUGCUCACUAGUGGACAGAUUGCAAGUGAAUCCAUUUCUUAGUCAAUCUCGAAAUGCCGAUUUCCAGAUCAUAUGUAAUGAGUUUCUUGCUUGCAUCACUAAUAUGACACGAAAAGUUUGGGGUUUUCUUACACAUGGAUGUGGGUACCUGCAAAUGUUGAAAGAUCCCAUUGAUUUCAGCUGGCUUCGGCAGUCUUCCAAUUUGUGCCACACUCCAUGCUGCAGUGAUGAGGAAUCCAAUAAGGAAACCGGGUAUCAAGAAAGUAUUUGCAGAAGGGUAAUGCAGCGGUGUGAUGGUGAAGAAAGGAUUACUAUCUUUCAGCUUGGUGUUCAUUGUAUAGCUUAUGGAGGAUAUUUAGCAAAUAUAUGCUAUGGUCCGAAUUCCCAUUGGCCUUGUAAAAUUAAAAAUGUUGUACAAAACGAAGAGAAAUUGGUUCAUUGUUGAAAGAAUUUUCAAUUUUCCUUGCCAGUUAAAUUUUAAAGAACUAUAUGUGAAAGCGCCACUAGAAAUGACUAAUAUGUUUGAUCUGCCAUGCUUUGUGAGAUCCUUAAUAUGAAAUUCUCCUCUAAAUCGCAUAUGAAGGAAGAUGAAUAGAUGAAUAGAUGAAUAGAUGAUCAAAAGCGCUAGUCAGACAUAAGCGGUCGUGAAAUGGGCAUGGGCCAUGACUAUUUUGUAUCGAAAACAGAAUAAUUCCAAUUCACACCUUUAAGUACACCAACGCGGUUCGGGGAGUCCAACUUCAAGAGUAAUGCACCGAUUUUUUUUCCAAAAAAAGAAAGAAAGAAAUUGUUACAAUCCACCUGUACAUUAAUCUACUGGAAGCCUAUAUACAUACAUUUUAUAUAACAGAAUUUCAGAUUUGGAAAUCCACCCUUAUAUACCACUGGGGUUCAAAUCCAAUGUAAUGCAGUGAUGUUAGAUCUGAAUUUUAUUUGCACAAUUUUCAAAACUAAUUGUUAGAGUUUUGGAUCAUCUAAAUUGUUAGACAGAAAUUAAGUCUAUGCUGUCUCACUACUUCUUUAUUGAAUACGAUACAAGUGUGCGUACAUAAAUGUAUUUCGAUGUUUAAUUAUGAUUUUUUUUUAUCACUACUUUAAUCACAAUUCAAUUUUUUUUUUUUUCUGUAAAUUUUUUAUACUAUUUCAAGAGGUUUUAUUGCCAGUGUAAGCUAACCAAUAAACAACAAUAUUACUCGUCAAAAAAAGAACAAAUAACAAUAUCGAAUGGAAAGUUUUCUAUCACAAGCACACAUAUGUGAGGCGAAUGUAAUGUUCUUCCAGAAAAGCUUUUGGUGACCUCUCAGUAGGCUAAAUAAAGCAUUAAUAUUUCAUGCGAUGCCUAUAUGGUCUGUUUCAAUUGAUAUAAGAAGUAUCAAUGAUUUAGAGGAGCCGUUGCUUAAUGAAUUAAGCUCCUUCAUACACGUUGUAAUUGGGGAUUGUAGCUUCUCCUUACGUGUAUGGUGGAGCUGGAAGCAUGUGGCCUCAAUGGAACCCAAAUCUCCUUCAUUAGUGUCAAAACAAUUUAGGUGUUGAAUCAAUUAGCACUCGCUAGUAUCCGAAGUUUCUAAUUGCACAAAAAUUAACUAAAAUGGAAUACUAGUGCUGAGCUUAUCCAAUAAUUUAGCUUAAGAGAUUAAUUUAAUUGAACUUACGUGUCAUUACUUUUUUUGGUCUGUGAUCACUCGAUUUUAAUACUAAUUUUGAACCCCUUCCAAUCAAACAUGAACAGUUGGCCUUACCUCGAUCCUAUACAUGACAUAAAAUCAAGCAAAUCAAGAGGGGUCUUAAUUAAACGUUAGAACAUUAGGUUACGCAAUUGUUAACAUCACAUUACCGAAUCAAUCAGACCCCCACCCAUCAAAGUUCAUCAACCACACAAACCGAUUUUAGUACUUUUCCAUCGAUCAUUAUCCUACCUAUAAACGUGGCUGCACGAUCUUGUUUCCAUGGGACCCAUAAAUAAGGCAAGUCCAUACUCAUAUUUUAAUAUACAGAUGCAUUGAUUUAUUAAUAGUUUCAUCUAAUUAGAGAUAAUAUAAUCAUGAUGAUGCAGUUAAAUUUUAUAUAACCAUCAAUUAUAUGUUAGUUCUUUAAAAUAAAUUUAUAAAUUUAAUAAUAUUAUUUUAUUUAUUAUAUGAUUGAUAUAAUACUUUAAAGGUAUUCUAAAAUUUCUCCACCUCUACAUAUAUAUAUAUAUAUAUGUACACAUGUCAAAUGACUUAUGCCUCUAAGCUUUAUUUCCAACACCAAUGUCUCUAAGCUCCCAACGUUUUGGACUUCAACAUUGUUUUUUUUUUUUUUUAAUUUGGAUUUGGUCAAUCACUAUGUUACAACAGUUGCAAUACUUUGGAUUACCAACAAAAAAAUUUGUCUUACUUUAAAAGUUGUUUAUUACAGUAUUUCAAUUUUUUCAUUAUACAAAAAUAUUUGAGAACCAUAAGUCAUUCUAUGAUACCGUGUUAAAAUCAUGACAUCAAUGCUAUAAUCAAACAUAAGUUCUAUAAUUAAAAUAUAAGAUUUGUGAAUUUAAUAUAAAAUUUGUAAAUUAAUAUUAACUAUAAAAUAAAAUAUAAAUUUUGAAAAUGGAAAAAAACCUUGUAAAUGAAAGGUAAAACAAGUAAGUUAAUAUAAAACUAGUAAAUUGAUAUAUUAUUUGUAAACAAAUUAAAAACUUAGAAAUAUAACAUAGAACUAGUAAAUUAACAUUAAGUACAAAAUAAAAUAUAAAAUUCAGAAAUUGAAGAUAACACCUCUAAAUGGAAUGUAGAGUAAGUAAAUUAAUAGAAAACUAGUAAGUUGAUGUACUUAUGGUAAACAAAACAAAAACUUAUAAAUAUAACAUACAAUUAGGCCAAGUCUCACUGAUGAGCGCUGACGUAAUGCCCCAACUACAUCUUAAGGAGGUUAUUGAUAUAUUAUUGGUCAACAACACAAAAAACUUACAAGUAUAACACAAAACUAAUAAAUCAAAUUAAGUGUAAAAUAAAACAUAAAUUUUGAAAAUAAAACACAAGACUUAUAAAUGAAAUGUAAAACAAGCCAAUCAAUAUAAGAGUGAUAAAUUAAUGUUUUACUAGUAGACAAAAUGAAAACUUGCAAAUGUAACAUAAAACUUAUAAAUUAAUAUUAAGUGCAAAAUAAAAUAUAAAUUUUAUAUAUUACACCUAAAAUGUAUGAAUAGAAGGUAAAAUUAGUAACUUAAUUUAAGAGUUACUUAAAAAAAAUGUAAAAAAAUUACAAACGUAAAAUAAAAACCCAUUGAUUAUCUUAUAUAUUUGAUUUUGUAUUUAAAUUGAAUAAUGAUUAUUUUUUGUUCUUGUGAUACAUUUGAUGUUUUAUUAAGGAUAAAACUUAUUCUCAAAGUUAAAUAAGACUUAUUGAGGAUAAAACUUUAAUGUUUUCAAAGUUGUUUUAAAAUGAGCUCAUUUUACAUUUUUCUACACCUCAGCAGCAGCAUAAAUGGUUCUUGAAUAUAAGUAAGGAGUAAAGUUUAAAACUAUGCAUAAAACUCAAAAUUAAAUAUAAUUUUAUUGAUAUAUCAUAUGUGUCUAGUAAUAAGAAUAUCUUUUUAUUUUGUUUCUGUUUGAUCUACGUUAAGAUAAAUAAUUUCACUUAAUUAACUUGUGUCGUAAAUAGAUAUUAUUAUAGAAAAUUAAAAAAAAAGUUCAUAAACAUUCCAGAAUGAGCAUAGAGUUUAUAGUUAAAACAAUUCAACAAAACCUAUUCCACUUGUUUUCAGUAUAGUUUUUUUUUUCAAUUGAUGAGUGAUUUUUUCCUUUAUUUAAUUAAAGUAAAUGGUUAUAUUAUUUUUCACUAAAAUAAUAUAAAAACAACGUUAAUUAUUUAAAUAAUAAUAUUUUUAUAUUAAUUUACUUAUUCAUAGUCUUAUAUAUAAUUUAUAAAAUUUAUAUUUAGCACAAUACUAAUAUCAUAAUUGUAAUCACAAUAUUAUAGAAUUUCCUAUUUAUAAUAAAAAUACAAGCUGAUAACAGUUACAUUUAUUUAUGACUAUAGUUUAAAGUUGAGAGUUCUAUAUAAUUUUUAAUAUUAUUCAACCGAUAACACUAAAAAGAGAAAAUUAUUUAACUUUAGAUGAUGACCAUUACAUUUAUUUUUCUUUUCAAAAAAAUGGAUAUUAAAUGGUGCAAACAACUGUUGGUAUUAAAUAUCUAGUCUUGCCGACACAUCAACUGCCAUUGGAUUGGGACCCAUUUAACUACCGGCCACAAAACAGUUUGGACAAAACUUAAUCCUGAAAACUUGUGGACCCCUCCUUUUAAAAAAUUAAAGAAAAAUUACGUGUCAAAAACAAGAAGAAAAAAUUACACUGAUGAAUUAUUGUUAUGUCAAAUUAUUUAGGGGUGGACAAAAAAAUCAUAGUCUUAAAUAAAUCGAAUCGAAUCGAUGAUUUUUUCUAAUUUAGUUCAGUUUUUAUUUUUUUUAAAAAUCAAAAUAUAUCAUUUGUAAAAAAAAUUGAAAUGUCGGUUCGGUAUUCGGUUCACUUAGCUGAACCGAAAAAUCGAAUUAUUUUUUGAUUUAUUCAAAUCAAACAUGUGUUAAUAAUUAUAUUCAAAUCAAACAUGAUUUUAUUCAAAUCAAAACAUGUGUUAUUUCUCUUUAUAACAUUAUGAUUAUGUUUAUAUAGAUGGAGUAUUGGAGUUUGGUUAUGUAUUUUGAAAUUUUAAUAUUUCAUAUUUUGGGAGUAUCUUAUUAAUAGUUAGUAAGAUAUUAGUGAUAAAAUGUGUUUUGAAUACUUUGUAUUUAUUGUUAAUAUUUGUAAUAAAAUUAGGAUAAAUUAAUUGUUGAAAAAAAUUAUUACAUUCAUAAGGUCUAAUAGACUAAAAAUUUAAAAAUUUAAAAAUUCAAAAUAGGCACAAUAGGUCAAGAAUCGAAAAAAUCGAACCGAACUGGAUCGAUCCAAAAAGAACCAUUUGAGCUCAGUUCUUAUUGAGUUUGAUUCUUAUUCGGUUCUUUUUAUAAAAUAAUCGAUUUAAAUCGAUUCUAUUUAAUUUCAAACCGAACCGAACCGUGCCCACCCCUAAAAUUAUCACACAUAAAAUAAAGAAUUUAAGCAAAAGUCUUAAACCAUUAUAAAUGUGAACAUAUGGCAGAUUUAUGAUAUGAUGGGUCCACCUAUUAAAUAUCUUUUUUUAGUGUGGAUACUCGUGUUUCAUAAAAGUAUAAAUUUAAUAUUUUAUAAUAGUAUAAAAUAUUUUAUAAAGGGCAAACGUCAACACUUUAAAAAAAAUUCUUAGGAUUAAAGUUUAUCAUUAUAAAAAUAAAGUUGGUUGGUGUGAGUGUUUCGAUAAUCUCAUUUUUUAAGAGAGAUUAGGGAUUUAAGCUCCGCUCUUAUAUAGAGUCACUAUUUUAGUCAGUAUUUUAUCUUUUAUGGGCCGACCUGGUACGAGUAGGGAUUAAUCUAAAUUAUAGUAUCGAUUUAAAAGUAUCUCCUACAAUUGAGGUCCACUCAGAACUGACAAAAAAAAAAUUAUCAUUACAAAGAGUGAAAAAGAGAAAUCCAGUUUUGAGGGUUACCAAAGCACUUAAAAAAAUAUAUAAAGCACAAAAUAUUUAAAAAUUGGAGAGAGUUCGCAUCGAGAAAGGGUCUUAAUUCAUUAAUGCAUAUGACAUACAAUGCAAAGUUUCGCGGUCUAUUAAAGCUAGAAUUAAUUUUAUCCAUUAAACUGCUCUUUUCCUAUUUUAUGGAUAAUUCUUUUGAACCACUGUUGAAGUAUUUGCAAUUUUUUACUAAAUUGUCUCAGCAUGAAGUCUCGUUGGCGAAACCAUCCAUGUCCAAAUAUGACGAAAAUAAAUGAACCAACAAUAGACCAGUCACAUUAUUAUUAUUAUUAUUAUUUGAGCACAUAAAUUGAUUUUCUUAUAGUAAAGAAAAAAAAAGUUUUUUCUCCGUGAAUUUGACUUUUUCUUGUGGUAUCGAACCAACCAUAGACUUAUUACCUCUAAAAUUUUCUGAAGGUUAAGAUUUUUUUUUUUAAACAAUUAAAACCAUCCCCAGAAAGAGACUCGAUGACACGUGUCAAAAAAUUGAAGUUUCUAACGGAGUUAAGAAAUAAGAAUAUGUUAAAAUAAGCAAAUUAAUGCAUACAUGUCAAAAAAUCUUCCAAAUAUUAAUUAAGUAAAUUCAGAUUAGUACAAUUUUAUUGAUUAUUUGAUUGUCACCCAGAAAAUCUAAGAAGAAAUUUUUAGCAACCCUUACUAUUUGGGUCACGAAAAGCUUAUAAAUAGACCCAGAUCUCCCAUACUACGAUCAUCAGCAACACCAAAAACACUUUCUUGAAGUAGCGUCUAUAAAUUUCUCUUCUGCUAUCACUUUUUACUCUAUUAAUUAAUAAUGUCUGAGGAAAAGCACCACCACCACGGCCUCUUCCACCACCACAAGGAGCAUGAGAAGCCUGAGGGUGCCACCGGCUACUCCGACACCGCCACCGGCUACUCUGAUACAGCCACCGGCUACUCUGAUACCCCCACCGGUUACUCCGACUCGACCACCGGAUACUCUGAUCAGUCAGCCACUGAUUACUCUGAGACUACAGGUUAUCCGGGAGACCGGCGUCGGCCAUCGGAGACGGAGAGCGGUGACUAUGGCAGGAAAGAGGAAGAGUUUGAUUACAAGAAGGAGGAGAAGCACCACAAACAUCUCGAGCACCUCGGAGAGCUUGGAACUGCUGGAGCUGGUGCUUUUGCUCUGGUAAAGUGAUUCUUCAUCAAGUGCUUUUUUUAUUUUGUGAUAGUGUAUAGUUUCAUUUCUCAUGCAUACAUACAAAAAAAAAGAUUUUUUUUUUUUUGACAGCAUAUAUAUGUAUAUAUACAAAGUACCACGCAUGUAACUAGGCUUUUUGCAUGGAUUGGAGGAAAAAAAAGAAAGAAUCCCAUUAUUUUCUUUAAUUUUAUCUCUAUGUUGACACUCAAUUAUUUAUUUAUUUAUUUUUUUUUGGGUGGUGGGGGGGUGUGAACCGAUAUUGUAAAUGGAUCAGCUUGAGAAGCACAAGGCAGAAAAGGACCCAGAGCAUGCACACAGGCACAAGAUAGAGGAGGAGAUAGCCGCGGCCGCAGCCGUUGGAUCGGGAGGAUUUGCGUUCCACGAGCACCAUGAGAAGAAAGAAGCCAAGGAAGAAGACGAGGAAGCUCAUGGAAAGAAGCACCACCAUCUCUUUUAAUUAAUUAUGUAUUGCGUGCGCUACCUUUUUUAGUUUAUUAUAAUUAUGUGUUAAUAUUUUCUGUAUUUUAUUUGUUUUUGUUCGUUAAUUAUCAUUGAGCACAGAGGUAGCUAUCUGCAGCCCUAAAUAAUACUCUUGUGUGUUCGCGUGUAUGGGUGAGUCUGGUGACUUUUGUAAAUAGACCGGAGUUAUCUGGUUAUGUUGUCAUCUUACUUUCAUAUUUAUGUUGAUAAUAAAACUUAGUUUUAAUUGUGUGUUUAUUAUUUAUAAGAUUUGACCUCAUGAUCUGAUGUUUUCUCCAAUCUCAGCUGUUGCUUUAGAAGUGGGGAUCAUCUAUUACUAUUGUUUUUAAAUGAACUGAGCUGACAGCCAUUGCGCUAAAGACUAAUUCAACAUCAUAAAUAAACAACUCUCUUUGCGGUGAUGUAAUUUUAUUUGCCAAUGGGAUAAAGUAAAUUUAUGUGAAAUAACAUUUAUUCUAUAUUUAUUAAAUUUUUUAAAGGAAUAUAUAAAGUUUAAAUUAACCUACAACUUUUCUUAAGAUUCAAAUCCUUGGGGGCUUUAUCAAAUAAGAUUUGAUAUUAUAUCUGAAAAUGUAAUCGUGAAACCAAUGAUUAUAAGUUGAACUUAAUGUACAACUAAUCUUGAUAUUACCAAGUUGAUUUAUGGACUUUUGCUCGAGAAUGUUGUAUGGCUCGUGACAAGUUGGACUGAAAAGCCUAUCGAGUAAUGGAAUGUUAGGUGUAUUUUCUCAAGAAGCAACACUAAAUAAUCACCCGCUGAGAGUCACAAGUUUCUUGGCACAAUGUUACUUUCAUGGAUUUAAGUCUCUAAUUAUUGUGUUUUGACUCUAAAGCCAAAUCCCUGUACCAUUGUCAUGAAGGAGGGCCAAAAUAAUCAUUUCCGAUUCGGCUCAACUUUGAUACAAUAGUUGGAGCGAUUAAUGUUACACUUUAACAUCUAACUAGGGACGUAGCUUUCUCCUUUAUUGUAAUAAACAUGAAAGUGAAAAAAAAAUGUAAUUGAAAAGAUUAAGAGGACAUGAAAGAACACGAAACAGGGCUCCAUCUACCAUGCCCCCUUGCGCACCGUACCCCCUUUACUUGUUUUGUAAUGAAGGCACCGUUGGAUGAAAAGGAGGAAGAUCGUGGAAGUGGGAAAUCGCCAGGUGGCAGUUGACAAAAACCGGGAGUAUAAGUCAAUUGACAGGAACUGUUUAUGGUGCAAUAAUUUUAUUAAAAGGAACAACAAAUAUGUUGGUACAGACAACAAUAAAGUAGUUAGCUGAAGCAAUUAUAUGUAGAAGCAAGUAGUUUGUUAGAGACAAUUUUAUGUACGUUAUAAACAAAUAUUUUGUUGGAAGAGGCAUAUAAGUGUGGUUACUGUAGCACGGAAAAUGAAAUGAGAUCAAUUGAUGUUAACUAAAUAAAAAAUGAAGCAUGAACGAAAGGAUAGGAAGUAGAUGUAGUUGAUUAGAUGUGUUGAGAAUACGCUCGGAGCCGCAAAAUCCGGCAGGGCCACAGUAAAUAGAGCAAAAAAUAAUCUAGUAUGUGGAGGGAUGAGUUGGCGAAUUAGUAGGAAGCAUCAAAAAAAUUGAGAGCCGCCGUCGGCUGACCAUUUGUGGCAUUAGUUCCACAAAUUGGCAAAUGGGGGAAGGAAGCUUGUGUAAGUGGCAUUAUUUGUAGUGUAUGGAAAUAAUGGGAAAACGAGGAAAAACAAUUACAGCACAACAAGUAAUACUGAAAUAAACAGAAAGGAGAGAAAAAAUGGAAUGAAAAUAAAGUAUAAUUGCAUAGAUAGUGAUUUAUUUUUUUUUUUAAAAGAAGGAACAAAUUGUAGAGUGGAGAGGAGGUAUAUAUAAUCAGAACAAUAGUGGAUUAGAUUUGUGUGAAAUUUGCAUGAGUCUGAAGAAGUAUAAAUUGGAUUUGAAUAGAAUUUGAACUUAUCUGUGGCUAGGAUUUGAAUAUCAAGUAAAAUACGAAAAAAAACAUGUAGCAAAUAAAGAUUGGCAUGGAAGCAGGAUAAUCAGUUCGAAAAGCAGGAGCUAUGGAAUUGACGAUAGCUUGAAAACCCAUGCAUGUCAGUGUUGUUACAUGGCAGCUAUCACCAUAGGUCCACAUCGGUGACUUGAAAUAACAAAUAUCUCGGAAAGUGGGUGAUUGCUUAAGACGUGAACGACCAAAUGCCCAUCAUCUUUAUUUAUUACCAUGAAACUGCACUUUAUAGCGCCAUAUAAAUACAUUCGUAAUGCACAAAACAAAUACAUGUCCAUUACAUUGGCAGCCCCAAAAUUAAUAAAAUAAUAAUAAUAAUGCUCAUUUCUAAUGAAAUCAAUAAAUCAGAUCUACAAUGGACUGUAACCCAUAGGCAUGAUGCAUCCGAUUCACUUCUUUCCAUUACUUGUUGCAAUUUCACUUUCUGAUUUUCUACACAGAUUCAUUGAAAAAACUUAACAACUCUGAAGUUACUAUGGAACUUUCGAUCAUACAUUUGAUUAUCAUUACAUGUACUUACAAAGAUACAAAACAGAUAAAUUAAUUAAUCCCUUGAUCAUUAUACUACAAGUGCAAAAAAUUGUGAUAUAAAUUUAGGAAAAUCAGUUGGGUGGAAAUUGAUAAUUAAGACGCGAUGUGCUUCUAAGAAGUUGAAGCUGAAUGUAUACUCAGCAUAAAGAUAAAUAAACGGGGACGCCAAACACCACUAAUACAAUAAAAUUACAGAGAAAAACAACUAUUUUUUCUCAUCAAUCCUGCUGCAUUAAAUGGGCCCAGUUGAACUGCUGGUAAUAAUCCCUAAAUCAAUUUGAAAUCGAUGCCCUCUACUCCAUAAUUUUACCCUAAAUCUCACUUCCCAGUAGGUUUACCAACAAAAAUUCACUAUUCAACUCAUGCAUUUCAAUUUCAGCUUCCACUAACCUGAUAUUUUUUAUUGCCGUGAUCUCUUCUCCCUCUGUUUCGUUUGAUGCUACCAGAAGAAAAUUAAACUCAACAUGAUCCGCUUCAUAAAUCCGAGCUAACACACCGUCGCUGCGCACUUGACUAUUCUCCACAACUCGGGUCUCUCUCCCUCACACCGGUCAAAAUCAAUUCCACUCACGAUUUACAGCACCCUAAGACCAAUGUCAAAGGUGCAACAGGUUAGAAUGGUAGCCCAACUUUAACUCACUAUUCAUUCUCAAAGCUCCAGCCAUUAGAUUUCACUCAUUAUAAUCUAACGGUUCCAGAAAACCGACAAAUACAGGGAGCACGGUGCCCAAGGGGGCACAAUUAGGGAUGGCAAUGGGGCGGGGUAGGGGUGGGGAUGCCUACCCCAUUCCCCACCCCAUUAAAAAUUUUUGCCUCCAUUCCCCACCCCAUUCCCCAAUAAAUUUAGUGGGUUGGGGAUGGGGAAUCCCCACGUGGGGAAUGAUUCCCCCAUCCCCACCCCAUUCCCCAUUUACAUAUUUUAUAGUAGAUAUAAAAAUAUGAUUUCAGUAAAUUAAAAAUUAGAGACUUAAGAUAAAAUCAUCACAAUAUUAUAAAGUAUUUAAUUUUAAAAAAAAUCUCUAAAAAUUUGAAACAAUAUCUUAAAAUGAUAUUAAAAGUGAAAAAUAUUUAAAGAAAGCAGCACCUUAAAAGAGAAAAGAAAAUAUAUUAAUGUUUUAAAAUUGAAAAAUAUUGUAGAAUUUUCUUUUAUUCAUAUUCUAUUUAUAUUACAUAAAAAUUACAAAUAAAAUUAUUAAUUGACAUUAUAGUUGAUAAAAUACAAAUUAUUAAAUAAGAAUUAAAAACAUAUUUAUAUAUAAUGGGGAUUGGGGUGGGGGUGGGGUGGGGAGUGCAAUACCAAACCCCACCCCGUUAACAAUUUGGGGAUUACUUUUCCCCCACUCCCCACCCCAUUCCCCAAAAAUUAUUAAAAAAUUUCCCCAUUUGGGGUGGGGCUCCAUGGGGCCCCAAACCCGUGGAGAAUUUUGCCAUCCCUAGGCACAAUAGCUGGACCCACGAAACAGGCGGAUAAUUAGGGAAGUGUUGGUCAUGAUUGUCAUCUUUAAUUUGCAGACAAAGAGCAUUAAUUUUUUUUUUUUGGGUUUUAUACUUUUAUCUCACCACUUGAGAGUGGUACAUUUAACAAAAACCCAAAUUCACUAGCAUCUAUGUAAUGUUAUUAUUAUUCUCGCUAAAAAUAUGCUUAAACAAAAAGGAAAUAUCGACAAUUCUAAAUAGAUAAAAAAUUAUUUACACAGGCGUUAAAAAAACCUUUAUGGAUUAAUUUUUUAAUAAUAAAUAAUAAUCUUCAUUAUUAUUUAGUCUAAUGACAGCUGAUGGAUUCUUUUUUCUAUUUAUAUAAUCAGCUUAAUUAGUUCGAGCCUAAAAUUUUUUAUUUCAAGAAAUUUUAUCACCUCAGAUGAAACCUACAUUGAACAAUUGUUUAUAUUACAACAGUAAAUUAUAACCACCGAAACAUCAACUGCCAUUGGAUUGGGACCCAUUUAACCACCGGCCACAAAACAGUUUGGACGAAACUGAAUCCUGAAAAACUUAUGCACCUCCCUUUUCACUUGUUUUUUUAAAAAAAAUUAAAGAAAAAUUACGUGUCAAAAAGAAAAAAAAAUUACACUGACGAAUCCCUUACUGUCAUGCCAAAUUAUCACACUUAAAAUAAAGAAUUUAAGCAAAAGUCUUAAACCAUUAUAAAUGUGAACGUAUGGCUGAUUUAUGAUAUGAUGGGUCCAUCUAUUAAAUAUGUUGUUUUCUUUAGUGUGGAUGUUUUUAUUUUAUUUUAUAAAAGUAUGAAUUUAAUAUUUUAUAAUAUUAUAAAAUAUUUUAUAAAGUGCAAAGUUCAACACUUGAGAAAAAUUUCUUAAGGUUAAAGUUUAUCAUUACAAAGAGUGAAAAAAAAAAAAGAAGAGGAGGAAAAUAUCCAAUUGUAACUACAACCGUCGUGUUUUUACAUUGUAUUUCUUACAAUUUUCCAUUAAAUAUUUCUCAAAUUCUUUAGAGAAUUAAAAUAAAUUUGUUAUAAAAUUAAAUUCUCUCAUGAUCUAAAUUUGUCUGGAGUAAAAUUUAGUUGGAGAUUAGUGGUUAAUUAAAAAAAUAGUUAAAUCAAAAUCAUACAUAGCAUUAAAAAAAAUAUAAAAUACAAGAUAUUUAAAAAUUCGAGAGAGUUCAUGUUAAGAAAGGGUUUUAAUUCAAUAAUGCAUAUGAUAUGCAAUGCAAAGUUUGGUGGGUCUAUUAAAACUAUAAUUAAUUUUAUCCAUUAAACUGCUAUUUCCUCUUUUAUGGAUAAUUCUUUUGAGCCACUGUUGAAGUAUUUGCAAUUUGUAACUAAAUUGUCUGAGCAUGAAGUCUCGUUGGUAAAACCAAUCAUGUCGACAUGUAACGAAAAUAAAUCAAAAUCCGGAAACAAUAUUUAUGUAACAAUGAACCAACAAUAGACCAAUCACAUUAUUAUUAUUAUUAUUAUUAUUAUUUGAGUACAUAAAUUGAUUUUCUUAGAGUAAAAAAGAAAAGAUUUUUUUCUCCGUGAAUUUGACUUUUUCUUGUGGUACCGAACCAACCAUAGAGUUAUUACCUCUAAAAUUUUCUGAAGGUUAAGAAUUUUUUUUUAAACAAUUAAAAUCAUCCCCAGAAAGAGACUCGAGUACACGUGUCAAAAAAUUGAAGUUUCUAACGGAGUUAAGAAAUAAGAAUAUGUUAAAAUAAGCAAAUUAAUGCAUACAUGUCAAAAAAUCUUCCAAAUAUUAAUUAAGUAAAUUCAGAUUAGUACAAUUUUAUUGAUUAUUUGAUUGUCACCCAGAAAAUCUAAAAAGAAAUUGUUAGCGACCCUUAACAUUUGAGUCACGAAAAGCUUAUAAAUAGACCCACAUCUCCCAUGCUACGAUCAUCAGCAACACCAAAAACACUUUCUUGAAGUAGUGUCUAUAAAUUUCUCUUCGGCUAUCACUUUUUACUCUAUUAAUUAAUAAUGUCUGAGGAAAAGCACCACCACCACGGCCUCUUCCACCACCACAAGGAGCAUGAGAAGCCUGAGGGUGCCACCGGUUACUCCGACUCGACCACCGGAUACUCUGAUCAGUCAGCCACUGCUUACUCUGAGACUACAGGUUAUCCGGGAGACCGGCGUCGGCCAUCGGAGACGGAGAGCGGUGACUAUGGCAGGAAAGAGGAGGAGGUUGAUUACAAGAAGGAGGAGAAGCACCACAAGCAUCUCGAGCACCUCGGAGAGCUUGGAACUGCUGGAGCUGGUGCUUUUGCUCUGGUAAAGUGAUUCUUCAUCAAGUGCUUUUUUUAUUUUGUGAUAGUGUAUAGUUUCAUUUCUCAUGCAUACAUACAAAAAAAAAGAUUUUUUUUUUUUGACAGCAUAUAUAUGUAUAUAUACAAAGUACCAAGCAUGUAACUAGGCUUUUUGCAUGGAUUGGAGGAAAAAAAAGAAAGAAUCCCAUUAUUUUCUUUAAUUUUAUCUCUAUGUUGACACUCAAUUAUUUAUUUAUUUAUUUAUUUUUGGGGUGUGGGGGGGGGGGGGGGGGGGUGUGAUACGAUACUGUAAAUGGAUCAGCUUGAGAAGCACAAGGCAGAAAAGGACCCAGAGCAUGCACACAGGCACAAGAUAGAGGAGGAGAUAGCGGCGGCCGCAGCCGUUGGAUUGGGAGGAUUUGCGUUCCACGAGCACCAU
rnacentral:lncRNA from 1 species